GAAAAUCACACUGUUCCUGCUCCUGCACCAUCACCUUCUGUUGCUGAUAUUUCAGGAGUUGAGGAGAAUCAUAAGAGUCAUGCUAUUUACUGGUGGAUAAUUGGGGGUUUGGGUGCUGGUCUUCUCCUGAUUGUCGUCAUUCUUGCUUUUGUUGUCUGUUGGUCGUCAAGUUGUUUUUCCAGAACUGAGAGAAGUCAUACAGCAGGUUCAAAUGAAAAGAUUUCUCACAAGUUCCAGAUACUUCGAAAUACAAGUUUCUGUUGUGCCUCAGGAAGGUACAUUUGCGGUAACUCAGGGGACCUGCAAGAACCGAAUGGAGAAUCU
rnacentral:misc_RNA from 1 species